CCAGACUCCUACGGGAGGCAGCAGUGGGGAAUAUUGCACAAUGGGCGAAAGCCUGAUGCAGCAACGCCGCGUGAAGGAAGAAGGCGCCAGGCGUCGUAAACUUCUUUUGUCGGGGAACAAAGGGCGCCACGCGUGGCGUUGUGAGUGUACCCGAAGAAAAAGCAUCGGCUAACUCCGUGCCAGCAGCCGCGGUAAUACGGAGGAUGCGAGCGUUAUCCGGAAUUACUGGGUGUAAAGGGAGCGUAGGCGGGCUUGUAAGUUGAAUGUCUAAUCCACCGGCUCAACCGGUGAUCGCGUUCAAAACUGCAGGUCUUGAGUGAAGUAGAGGCAGGCGGAAUUCCUAGUGUAGCGGUGAAAUGCGUAGAUAUUAGGAGGAACACCAGUGGCGAAGGCGGCCUGCUGGGCUUUAACUGACGCUGAGGCUCGAAAGCGUGGGGAGCAAACAGGAUUAGAUACCCGAGUA
rnacentral:rRNA from 1 species